GGGUCAGUAGGUUGGUCGUGCCACCGGUACGUACUGGUCUCACCGAUUCCUCCUUCCUGAAGAACCGUAAUGCCAUUAAUUUGGUGUUGCGGGGGAACAGGACUGUUACUUUGAAAAAAUUAGAGUGUUUAAAGCAAGCUAACGCUUGAAUACAUUAGCAUGGAAUAAUGAAAUAGGACGAUCGAUCCUAUUUUGUUGGUUUCUAGGAUUGACGUA
rnacentral:rRNA from 1 species